AAAACAUUUCUUAUAUGGUCAUCACUUGAAACACAAUGAUCAAAAUCACUCUUGAUUCAAUUAGUAGUUUUGAACAAAUAAUUGGGCAUUCUUUAAAAGGUUUUAAAAUGUCAAUUGUGUUAGUGAUUAAACCAAGAAAGAAGUGUCUAAAUCUAUAAAAUGUUUAAAGACUUUAGUCACUUAAUAACAAGAUAUUAACUUAGUGAAGAUUGAAACAAAUAAGCUUGAAAUGUUUUAAAGCUACUACACAAUGUCUUCUUCCAAUAUACUCCACUUUUAUACAUUUUGAAUGUAUGAAGUGAUUUCUCAUUAAAGUCAUGAGAAAUAGUGGGAGGUGUGAAAAUGGAUAUAAACAUGAUUAUGAUUGGUUUAUAGUUGUCUAAAGGAUAAUAGUACUUGACUAUUAUUAAGAGUUUGUAAUUUUAAUUGUUAAAGAACUCAAGCUCUACAAAUGUUAAAAUUCUAUGUUGUGAGACAUUCUAAAGAAUAGUCUUUGAAUGUUGGUUUCGUCAACCUAGCAUAAAAUGGUUAUAUGUUGGGAGUUGUCCAUCAUUCUCUUUUAUGAGAACAAGCUAAAUAACUAAGCAUAUAGACAAGUUGAUGAAACAAAAGGGAAAUAGUUUCAAAAUGAGUCACAACAUAUGAUUUAACAACAAGACAAUCCAAAUUCAACAUCUCAUGUAACAAUAUUGCUCUAUGUAGUUUUAAUAAAGAAUUGUAUCAACCACCUAGAAGGAAUGGUUGAGUUUCUAUAUCCUUAGUAGGAGCCAUGCUUCCACUAAAGACUUGGAUAAUUCUUAUAUGACUACAUUAAAGGUCUUAGUAUGACUAAAACUUGAAGUAUGGUGUAUGACACCAUAUAAUUUAAAUGAAUAGACUUAAUGGAACAAGUCACACAUUUCAAAUGGAAUUACUUGAGAAGGAAUUCUUUUGUGUGUGAUUCAUUUAAGUUAGUGGGAGCAAUAUGCAUUCAAAUCAAGAAAAUAUAAUUGUUAUUUUUGAAUGAAUGCUAAGUUACAACAAGGCCAGUGGGAGUGAUGUUCAUAAUUUGAGCAACAAGAUGUGAAUAAAGUCUAUUCGAUAGACUUGAAUAAAACAUAGAUGUUACUCGAGAAAUGACAAAACAUGACAUGGUCAAUUUUGAAGUAUAGACUUGAAAUUGGAC
rnacentral:lncRNA from 1 species